AUUCAGAUUUGAAAACAAAUUUAAAAUCAAAAUACCCGACAGAGCAAAUUGAGAGAUUGUAGCUGAAACUAAAGCUUUAGAGUUCGAUUGUCCCUGAAUGCCAUAUCAAAGCCAAAUCACUUCUCCCCGCAUCCGCCCUUGUAUGGGCUGUCAAAAGCAUUGCCUUGAAGUGGUAACCAAUAACAGCGGUGGCGGCAACGCAUUUGUAUUGAGUCGUGGUCACCACAUGGCAAUAAAAGAAUAGCUACUAGGACAGCCAGGUGGUACAAGAGGCAUAUAAUUGAUAGUAAAGUCCAAAAUCAUUUGAGAUUGCUUCACGGCCUUGUAGGACAUUGGGGAAAACCAAAAAUUAGCCUUGUUUAGAUAGCAGGGCAUUUAGGGCAGAGGGGUGAUAUAUAAAUUAACCGAGGAAAACAAAGGGCAGCUAAUAAUUUUUACAACAUACCAAAUUGCCAGAAACAUAAAUGCAUCGUUGUUAAGAAUAAGGCAGAAUUUCAUUCCAGGAUUAUCCUCAUUUUGGUUAAAAAAGUCAUAUAAUGCCCCCAUAGGGCUUGAACGGUUCUGAACAGCCUUGACUAUCUUACUGUGGGCAUUAUUCCAGAGUCUCUAACCUUAAAAAGCACUAUAUACGCAUACCUACUUUCUACACCGCACUUUUUUGUUUUAUUAUAAACAAACUUUGACAAAGAACAUAAUGAGAAAAGCAGUAUAUAUAUGUGACUAAUUGAAUUUUACCUACGUUUUCACAUAUUGGAAGGAAGUCAGGAUGACCCGGAAUCACCAGUCAGGACCACUUGGUACUUCAUGGGGUGUAGCGACAAGCCGGAGCAUGCAUUCGAACAUAGUUUUUGGAAUUACAAAAAAA